rnacentral:rRNA from 1 species
AUUGAACGCUGGCGGCAGGCUUAACACAUGCAAGUCGAGCGGAGACUUCGGUCUUAGCGGCGAACGGGUGAGUAAUACCUAGGAAUCUGCCUAUUAGUGGGGGAUAACGAAUCGAAAGGUUCGCUAAUACCGCAUACGUCCUACGGGAGAAAGGGGGGGAUCUUCGGACCUCUCGCUAAUAGAUGAGCCUAGGCCGGAUUAGCUAGAUGGUGAGGUAACGGCUCACCAUGGCGAUGAUAGGUAGGGGGCCUGAGAGGGUGGUCCCCCACACUGGUACUGAGACACGGACCAGACUCCUACGGGAGGCAGCAGUGAGGAAUAUUGGUCAAUGGGCGCAAGCCUGAUCCAGCAAUGCCGCGUGUGUGAAGAAGGCCUGCGGGUUGUAAAGCACUUUCAGUGGGGAAGAACAGAUUCGGGUCAAUACCCCGGAGCCCUGACGUUACCACAGAAGAAGCACCGGCUAACUCCGUG